rnacentral:rRNA from 1 species
GAUGAACGCUGGCGGCGUGCCUAAUACAUGCAAGUCGAGCGAACAGACGAGGAGCUUGCUCCUCUGACGUUAGCGGCGGACGGGUGAGUAACACGUGGAUAACCUACCUAUAAGACUGGGAUAACUUCGGGAAACCGGAGCUAAUACCGGAUAAUAUAUUGAACCGCAUGGUUCAAUAGUGAAAGACGGUUUUGCUGUCACUUAUAGAUGGAUCCGCGCCGCAUUAGCUAGUUGGUAAGGUAACGGCUUACCAAGGCGACGAUGCGUAGCCGACCUGAGAGGGUGAUCGGCCACACUGGAACUGAGACGCGGUCCAGACUCCUACGGGAGGCAGCAGUAGGGAAUCUUCCGCAAUGGGCGGAAGCCUGACGGAGCAACGCCGCGUGAGUGAUGAAGGUCUUCGGAUCGUAAAACUCUGUUAUUAGGGAAGAACAAAUGUGUAAGUAACUAUGCACGUCUUGACGGUACCUAAUCAGAAAGCCACGGCUAACUACGUG